UGAAGAGCUCAAAUCGAUUUUGGGCGUUUUCCUUUGUUUAGGGCUUCUUGCCCUUAGAGUGGCUGAGAGAGAGAAAACACUGGUCAAUGUGGUCGGGACUGAGAGUUACUAUCACUGGCACGAGUUAGAGGACUGUUGGAGUUGGUGCAUGUGAGAAGGAACGACGCCACUACCACUAUCGACAGGCAGGGAAGGUAAUGAGGGCUGUCUCAGCUGAAACUGAAGGAAAGAUAACGUCGCUGGUUAUGGAGGCGUUGGUGGUGUUAUCGCAAGUUGGAAGAAACAGUGAUGGUUGCUGUGGGUUCUUAGCCGAUGGUUGGAGGCUGGUUGCAGUGUUGAGGCACUGCUGAUUUUAUUGAGAAUGAGAAAAUGAAUGGCGAUGAUGGAGAUUGUUUAUGGGAUGUGGGUGAUUAAUGGAUUUGGGAUAAGAAAGUGAUUAGAGAGAGAUGCUAUGGAUUUAAUGCAAUUGAAAGCAUUUCAUGUCAGUCAUUAUAUGUGAUAACCAUUUUCUACCAUCUUGUGCUCCAUUCAUUUUGGGUUUACAAGGCGAGGAAUUAAGGUGUUUGAUUUUCUACCGAAGGAAAGAAAUUGAAUUCAUUGAAGUGCUGGUUUAAAAGAAAUCAUCUUACCUCGAGGAAUGAAGCAGUGCUGGUUCACAGUUCCUAUCCUUUUCCGUAGUUCUGUUGACCUGAGAUUUUGUACCUCAGCAGUUCCCAAAAACAUGGAACUAAUUUGGCUUUUGUCACACCUUUCCUACCAGGUUAGUGUUAUGAAAAUAUAGCAUGCAUGUUUUUGUUAUCCAUUUUGGAAACAUAGGUCCCCCUUUCCGUUGUAGACUUCUUCGAGCUCCUGUUUCCAUUUAUUUGCCCGGCCUGUUCUCUUGAACCGGAAUACUCAAAGGAUCUAGUUUUGUUCAUGAAAACUGAAACUUUUAAUGCAAUCAUCAUAUUUUUU